rnacentral:rRNA from 1 species
GACGAACGCUGGCGGCGUGCUUAACACAUGCAAGUCGAACGGAAAGGCCCUGCUUUUGUGGGGUGCUCGAGUGGCGAACGGGUGAGUAACACGUGAGUAACCUGCCCUUGACUUUGGGAUAACUUCAGGAGACUGGGGCUAAUACCGGAUAUGAGCUCCUGCUGCAUGGUGGUGGUUGGAAAGUUUCGGCGGUUGGGGAUGGACUCGCGGCUUAUCAGCUUGUUGGUGGGGUAGUGGCUUUCCAAGUCUUUGACGGGUAGCCGGCCUGGGAGGGUGACCGGCCACAUUGGGACUGAGAUACGGCCCAGACUCCUACGGGAGGCAGCAGUGGGGAAUAUGGCACAAUGGGCGGAAGCCUGAUGCAGCAACGCCGCGUGCGGGAUGACGGCCUUCGGGUUGUAAACCGCUUUCGCCUGUGACGAAGCGUGAGUGACGGUAAUGGGUAAAGAAGCACCGGCUAACUACGUG